rnacentral:lncRNA from 1 species
UUUAACCCGUCAGGUUACCGAAGCCUUUGCAAAUUGCCCGUUGUACAGCCAGACUUUCAGAGGACCGAAAACGCCGUGGACUGCCACUCCUGGGGGGACUUCACCAGCCCUCACCGCCACAGGCACCCCAAGUCGCGCAGCGGCAGGUCCGCAGGCGGGUUAAAGGCAGGCGCCGCGCACCGGCAGGUGCGCAGGGCAGGAGCCGGUUCCAGCCCAGAACGCCCCAAGCUGAGCUCCGGGGUCAUUUCAAUCGCCGCUCCCGCGGAAGCAGGUGCGCCGCCGCCCCUGUGCGCCCCGGGGCUGUGCGGAAGGCGCCGCAGCGCAUCCCGCCCGCUCCNNNNNNNNNNNNNNNNNNNNGCAUCUCCUGCGCUUGCCCUCGCCGGUCCCCGCCCCUUCCCGGUUUCCACUCCCGCCCCCCAUCCAGUCGUCGGCGGGGGCGGUCCAGAAUCUUCGGCGACAGUGGCGGUUGGGUACCGCCGCCUCGCGCCGCCCGGCGCCUUCCCGCCCGCUUCCCGCCCGCCUGCCCCGGCGACAGUCGCGGGGCAGAGCCACCGUUCUCCCUCCUGUCUCAGUUCUCCGGAGGCUUGUGUCCCCAGAGCUGUGGGCACUGCAGUGGGCCCAGGAGCGGGGAUGGUGGUGUGGGAUUCGCUGUCCGUCGACGGUGUGAACUGCUCUCGUGUCCCGGGGGCCGCCACUGCCCCGGCACAGCAGACUGGCAGCCGCCCCUCGCACCCUCCACGGGCUCUAGAUGCUGCAGAAGAAGGGAGCGAGGGCGAUAACGCAGCGGUGGCAGGGCAUCCUCCACACUCGAGGCUGGCAGCCCCAGACUGGCGUGGGGAAUGCACUGCUGCCGAGGACAGGAGCUGGGGAGGCUGCUUUGCACCCCCCUAUUCCUCUAGAGUCAGCAGCGCCAAGCGAGCUCCCCCUACCCCAGUCAAGCCUCCUUCGGAGCUGUGUCCCUGCACCGUGCGUGUGAGGAGCUGCGGCCGUCCACUUCCACGGGGGGCCGAGCAGCAAAGCCCUCCUAAAUCUUCUGGAGUGGUUACCUGA